CGUAGGAAAUUUGAGAGGAGCUGUCCUUAGUACGAGAGGACCGGGAUGGACAUACCUCUGGUGUACCAGUUGUCGUGCCAACGGCAUAGCUGGGUAGCUAUGUGUGGACGGGAUAAGUGCUGAAAGCAUCUAAGCAUGAAGCCCCCCUCAAGAUGAGAUUUCCCAACUUCGGUUAUAAGAUCCCUCAAAGAUGAUGAGGUUAAUAGGUUCGAGGUGGAAGCAUGGUGACAUGUGGAGCUGACGAAUACUAAUCGAUCGAAGACUUAAUCAA
rnacentral:rRNA from 1 species